rnacentral:rRNA from 1 species
AACGAACGCUGGCGGCAUGCCUAACACAUGCAAGUCGAACGAGACCUUCGGGUCUAGUGGCGCACGGGUGCGUAACGCGUGGGAACCUGCCCUUAGGUUCGGAAUAACUCCCCGAAAGGGGUGCUAAUACCGGAUAAUGUCUUCGGACCAAAGAUUUCUCGCCUUUGGAUGGGCCCGCGUUGGAUUAGCUAGUUGGUAGGGUAAAAGCCUACCAUGGCGACGUUCCAUAGCUGGUCUGAGAGGAUGAUCAGCCACACUGGGACUGAGACACGGCCCAGACUCCUACGGGAGGGAGCAGUGGGGAAUAUUGGACAAUGGGCGAAAGCCUGAUCCAGCAAUGCCGCGUGAGUGAUGAAGGCCUUAGGGUUGUAAAGCUCUUUUACCCGGGAUGAUAAUGACAGUACCGGGAGAAUAAGCUCCGGCUAACUCCGUG